AGUGAACGCUGGCGGUAGGCCUAACACAUGCAAGUCGAACGGCAGCACAGUAAGAGCUUGCUCGUACGGUUGGCGACUGGCGGACGGGUGAGGAAGACAUCGGAAUCUACUUUUUCGUGGGGUGUAACGAAGGGGAACUUACGCUAAUACCGCAUACGACCUACGGGUGAAAGUAGUGGAUCUUCGUACCUUGCGCGAUUGAGUGAGCCGUUGUCGGAUUAGCGAGUUGGCGGGGUAAAGGCCCACCAAUGCGACGAUCCGUAGCUGGCCUGAGAGGAUGAUCAGAGACACUGGAAGUGAGUGACGGUCCAGACUCCUACUGGAGGACGGCGUAGGCAAUAUCGGACGACAGGCGCAAGCAUGAUCCAGCCAUACGGCGUGGGUGGAGAAGGCCUUCGGGUUGUAAAGCCCUUUUGUUGGGAAAGAAAAGCAGCAGGUUAAGAAGAAGCUGUUAUGACGGUACCCAAAGAAUAAGCACCGGCUAACUUCGUG
rnacentral:rRNA from 1 species